AUGCUGGGCUCAGUUGUGUUUGGAGAGAGCUGAGAACAAGCAAGUUUUGGUAGCUGGGGUGUUUGGUAUGAAGUAGUAGGGCAGUGUGGGAAUUUGGAUGAGGUCAUUAAUGCUUUGGAGGUGGGUGAGCUGAAGGUGGUGUCACCAAAACAUAUUGGUGACUGAGCUCAGGAAGCUUGUCAGGUGAUUUGGGGCUAGAGGCUUUAUCAUGGCAGAAAACCCAAAGCCUGUGCUUUCUGAGUGCACUCUGCAUGUUCAGAGCUGUCCUCAGAGGAAGGGAGUAAGGAAAGAAGAUACCUUGCUACCUGGUGCAGGUGGGAGGAACUAUGUCAUGGGACUAGCUCAGGGAGUGAAAACAGAAUGGGCAGAAUCCCAACACAACAUGACUGUGACCUGUCCUGAUUCAAUCCCAGGCUAAGUGGUACCAGGUCAGAGGUCCGUUUCUGGUUAGAUGAGGGUCUACCAGGAUAGUAUGGUCUUCUUCAGUGCAAGAAGUAAGUGUGGUGUUUUUAUUAUGCUGGGGCACCACCAUAGUACAGCUAGAUUUUGUGACACAGCAGUUUCUGUAAGGAAGACAGAAUCUUAGACUAGGAUUUAACAAAGAUCUCAAGGAGUUAAAGCCUGGGGUGACUUGCAGCAUGUAGUCCUUGAUAGCAGUGGAUUACUGUUAUGCCUGGCAGUUCUACAUUGUUCUAGCAAGCAUUUUAAGUCAGAAUUUCAACUACCGCUGUAGUUGCUUUGCUUUGGAGAAGAGAGUAUAGCAGGUGACUCCAGAGGUGGGAGAAGCUGCAGAGCUUUCAGGGACAAACCAACCAAGCAGCAUCUCAAGAAGAGAUUGUACCCUCUCCUUGGAACCUGGAGGAGAGCAUGGAAAUAAAAAAAAGUUAGCUCAGAAUAGUAAAGAGGAAUGAGGGAGGGAAGAGCAGGAGCUGAGACAGCCUUAAAAGUACCAGCAGUGGAUGGUGGGUGCAGAUGGAUGGAGAGUGAUUCAGCAGGGGAGGAAGUUCUCAUUAGAUGCUCUUAAGUGAGACAAUAAAAGCCUGUGAGAAGCCUACUAGUUCUUUUGCGUUUCUUCUGGUGAAAUCUCUCUGGAGCUUUAUCCUCCUGGAUUUGUGCAGUAUAACAGAACCUGGCACUGCGCAGAUGCAACCGCUGCUUUAUGCAGCUCGGACUUUGCGAGGGGACUUCCACAACCCUGAUGGAGACCGCUGCCCACCCUUGACAUCCGCGCGGGG
ensembl:lncRNA